rnacentral:rRNA from 1 species
UACGUAGGGUGCGAGCGUUGUCCGGAAUUACUGGGCGUAAAGAGCUCGUAGGUGGUUUGUCGCGUCUGGUGUGAAAAUCCAGGGCUUAACCCUGGACCUGCAUCGGGUACGGGCAGACUAGAGUGCGGUAGGGAGAUCGGAAUUCCUGGUGUAGCGGUGAAAUGCGCAGAGAUCGGGAGGAACACCAGUGGCGAAGGCGGCCUGACCGUGGACCGAGCACUGACACUGAGGCAC